CGUCAAGGCCCCCACCAAAGAAACGGCGAUUACAGGAGAUUUCAAUCGAAAGUAAUACAGAUGCCACAAGACCCGAUGACAAUGAAAAUGCUCCACCUACAGAAUUCCAUAAAGAUGAAAGUAUUCAAACUGAUGAAAACUGGGUUUCCCCACUUGAUCUCCUGGUAUAUAGUGUAGAGAGUCA